rnacentral:rRNA from 1 species
UACGUAGGGGGCAAGCGUUGUCCGGAUUUAUUGGGCGUAAAGAGCGUGUAAGCGGUUUGGUAGGUCCGUUGUGAAAACUCGAGGCUCAACCUCGAGACGCCGAUGGAAACCAUCAGACUAGAGUCCGGAAGAGGAGAGUGGAAUUCCUGGUGUAGCGGUGAAAUGCGCAGAUAUCAGGAAGAACACCCGUGGCUAAGGCGGCUCUCUAGUACGGUACUGACGCUGAGACGCGAAAGCGUGGGGAGCGAACAGG